rnacentral:miRNA from 1 species
UGAGUGUUGUCUACGAGGGCA